UAUCCGAUCCGUCUUUGCCAUCGUCUCGAUCCAUUCUCUUUGGAACUGCGCGGAUUUACGAACGAAGCAGAAUCGAGCGGAAUGCUCGAGGAAAAUCGAGUCAGCGAACGGACGAAUUUUGGGAGCGUCGUGUCUUCGGAGUCGACCGCCGAUUUUCAAAAGCGACAUCACGCUAAUCUUGGACGAAAGAGUAGAGAAAUGAAAGAAACGUCACAUCGGAGCGUAUUACAAAUAAUAUGACUUCAAGAAUUACGAGGUGGAUCUUUCCCGCCGAUUGAAGACUGCAGCCCAUGAAAUAGGCUUAGAACUCUGUUAUAAUUGUUUUUUUACUUUAAAAACAAUUUUCUUGUAUUUGUUAAAUAUAUAUAAAACCAUACCUCAAAAUUCAAUAA